rnacentral:rRNA from 1 species
GUUUGAUUCUGGCUCAGGAUGAACGCUGGCGGCAUGCCUAAUACAUGCAAGUCGAACGGAGUGAAGCCUUCGGGUUUCAUUCAGUGGCGAACGGGUGAGUAAUACGCAGGGAACCUGGCCAUGGCAGGGGGAUACACUCUGGAAACGGAGCAUAAGACCCCAUAGGCAGUAAGGCGGCAUCGCCUUACUGUUAAAGAAAGCUGAAAGGCUUUGGCGAUGGAUGGACCUGCGGUGCAUUAGCUUGUUGGUGAGGCAACGGCUUACCAAGGCGAUGAUGCAUAGCCGGCCUGAGAGGGCGGACGGCCACACUGGGACUGAGACACGGCCCAGACUCCUGCGGGAGGCAGCAGUAGGGAAUUUUCGUCAAUGGGCGCAAGCCUGAACGAGCAAUGCCGCGUGAGUGAGGAAGGUCUUCGGACUGUAAAGCUCUGUUGCCGGGGAAAAAGGGGAAAUGCAGGAAAUGGCAUUUCAUGGAUGGUACCCGGCCAGAAAGCCACGGCUAACUACGUGCCAGCAGCCGCGGUAAUACGUAGGUGGCGAGCGUUAUCCGGAAUGAUUGGGCGUAAAGGGUGCGCAGGCGGUCUGUUAAGUCUGAAGGCAAAGGGAUGAGCUCAACUCAUUUAUGAUUCAGAAACUGGCAGACUUGAGGACAGGAGAGGGCGGUGGAACUCCAUGUGUAGCGGUAAAAUGCGCAGAGAUAUGGAGGAACACCAGUGGCGAAGGCGGCCGCCUGGCCUGUGACUGACGCUGAGGCACGAAAGCGUGGGGAGCAAAUAGGAUUAGAUACCCUAGUAGUCCACGCCGUAAACGAUGAGGAGCAGGUGUUGGGAGUGAAAUCUCAGUGCCGAAGCCAACGCAGUGACUCCUCCGCCUGGGGAGUAUGCACGCAAGUGUGGAACUCAAAGGAAUUGACGGGGGCCCGCACAAGCGGUGGAGUAUGUGGUUUAAUUCGAAGCAACGCGAAGAACCUUACCAGGUUUUGACAUCGGAUGCGAAGGCGCAGAGAUGCGCUGGAGGCUAUCAUCCAGACAGGUGGUGCAUGGUUGUCGUCAGCUCGUGACGUGAGAUGUUCAGUUAAGUCUGGCAACGAGCGCAACCCCCGUGGUAUGUUACUAACGCAUUUGGGCGAGGACUCAUAUCAGACUGCCGGUGACAAACCGGAGGAAGGCGGGGAUGACGUCAAAUCAUCAUGCCCCUUAUGACCUGGGCUACACACGUACUACAAUGGCGUCUACAGAGGGAAGCGACCCUGAGAAGGGAAGCGAAACCGGAAAAGGGCGUCCCAGUUCGGAUUGAAGUCUGCAACCCGACUUCAUGAAGAUGGAAUCGCUAGUAAUCGCGGAUCAGCAUGCCGCGGUGAAUACGUUCCCGGGCCCUGUACACACCGCCCGUCAAACCAUGGAAGCCGGCAACGCCCGAAGCCGGUGGCAUAACCUUUUAGGAGUGAGCCGUCGAAGGCGGGGCCGAUGACUGGGGUUAAGUCGUAACAAGGUA